rnacentral:rRNA from 1 species
CCUACGGGUGGCUGCAGUGGGGAAUAUUGGACAAUGGGCGAAAGCCUGAUCCAGCCAUGCCGCGUGUGUGAAGAAGGCCUUCGGGUUGUAAAGCACUUUCAGUGGGGAAGAAAGCCUUGGGACUAAUACCCUCGAGGAAGGACAUCACCCACAGAAGAAGCACCGGCUAACUCCGUGCCAGCAGCCGCGGUAAUACGGAGGGUGCGAGCGUUAAUCGGAAUUACUGGGCGUAAAGCGCGCGUAGGCGGUCUGAUAAGCCGGUUGUGAAAGCCCCGGGCUCAACCUGGGAACGGCAUCCGGAACUGUCAGGCUAGAGUGCAGGAGAGGAAGGUAGAAUUCCCGGUGUAGCGGUGAAAUGCGUAGAGAUCGGGAGGAAUACCAGUGGCGAAGGCGGCCUUCUGGACUGACACUGACGCUGAGGUGCGAAAGCGUGUGUAGCAAACAGGAUUAGAUACCCCAGUAGUC